rnacentral:rRNA from 1 species
ACCAGACUUGCCCUCCAAUAGAUCCUCGUUAAAGGAUUUAAAUUGUACCCAUUCCGAUGACAGACCUCGAAGAGGACUGUCUCGUUAUUUUUCGUCACUACCUCUCCGUUCUGGAAGUGGGUAAUUUGCGCGCCUGCUGCCUUCCUUGGAUGUGGUAGCCGUUUCUCAGGCUCCCUCUCCGGAGUCGAACCCUUAUUCUCCGUUACCCGUUACUACCAUGGUAGGCGUAUAACCUACCAUCGAAAGUUGAUAAGGCAGACACUUGAAAGAUACAUCGCCAGUACUAGGACUGUGCGAUUGGCAAAGUUAUUCAGAUUCACCAAAUUACGGGCCGAAACCCGAUUGGUUUUUAUUCUAAUAAAUACACCCCUUCCGAAGUCGGGGUUUUUAGCAUGUAUUAGCUCUAGAAUUACCACGGUUAUCCAAGUAGUAAGGUACUAUCAAAUAAACGAUAACUGAUUUAAUGAGCCAUUCGCAGUUUCACCGUAUAGAUUGCUUAUACUUAGACAUGCAUGGCUUAAUCUUUGAGACAAGCAUAUGACUACUGGCAGGAUCAACCAG